UACGUAGGCAGCGAGCGUUGUUCGGAGUUACUGGGCGUAAAGGGCGCGUAGGCGGGUGCUCAAGUCCGUGGUGAAAUCCUCCGGCUCAACCGGAGAACUGCCUCGGAUACUGGGCGUCUCGAGUGUGGUAGGGGUAUGCGGAACUAUCGGUGGAGCGGUGAAAUGCGUUGAUAUCGAUAGGAACUCCGGUGGCGAAGGCGGCAUACUGGACCACCACUGACGCUGAUGCGCGAAAGCCAGGGGAGCAAACGGG
rnacentral:rRNA from 1 species